rnacentral:misc_RNA from 1 species
CCAUAUAUUCAUUCUCUUUCAGUGAGAUGGAGUCCACCUCUCAUAAAUUUAUGGAAAAGCAUCUUCUAAUUUUCCAUUUGAGAGAGAUGAAGGAUAACGACAAAACAAGGAUCAACGUCAAAGCAUAGUAGAUGGGCUUAAGAGUGAAGUUCUGGAGCCAGACCUCCCUCUUGAUACCUAUACGACUGCUUCUUCCAUCUCAUCCUCUUCCCAGGUCAUCAUCUUCUCUUCACACUUACAGUUUACCAGCCCACAGAAAACCACUCGUGAGAGCGAUUGCCAGUUCCACAGAAGCAUUAGCGCCAGCGAAAAUGGUCAAAGCUAUUAGGGUUCAUGAGCUUGGUGGACCUGAGGCCUUGAAGUGGGAAGAUGUGGAGACAGGAGAGCCAGGUGAGGGUGAGAUACGUGUGAAAAACAAAGCCAUUGGGGUUAACUUCAUUGAUGUGUAUUUUAGAAAAGGAGUGUACAAGGCUCAAUCAAUGCCAUUCACCCCAGGUAUGGAGGCUGUUGGAGAAGUGAUAGCUGUGGGCCCUGGACUUACUGGUAGGAACAU